rnacentral:rRNA from 1 species
AGAAUCAACGCUGGCGGCGUGCUUAACACAUGCAAGUCGAACGAGAAAGGGGAGCAAUCCCUGAGUAAAGUGGCGACCGGGCGAGUAACACGUGACUAACCUACCCUCGAGUGUGGAAUAACAUCGGGAAACCGAUGCUAAUACCGCAUAACAUCGGCGCUUUUAAGAGAUGCCGAUCAAAGGAGCAAUCCGCUUGAGGAGGGGGUCGCGGCUGAUUAGCUAGUUGGCGGGUAAUGGCCCACCAAGACUGUGAUCGGUA